UACGGGGGGGGGCAAGCGUUGUUCGGAAUUACUGGGCGUAAAGGGCUCGUAGGCGGCCAACUAAGUCGGACGUGAAAUCCCUCGGCUUAACCGGGGAACUGCGUCCGAUACUGGAUGGCUUGAGUAUGGGAGAGGGAUGCGGAAUUCCAGGUGUAGCGGUGAAAUGCGUAGAUAUCUGGAGGAACACCGGUGGCGAAGGCGGCAUCCUGGACCAUUACUGACGCUGAGGAGCGAAAGCCAGGGGAGCAA
rnacentral:rRNA from 1 species